GCCCAAGUGGUGGAAUUGGUAGACACGCCAUCUUGAGGGGGUGGUGAUCGUAUGAUCGUGCGGGUUCAAGUCCCGCCUUGGGCACCA
rnacentral:tRNA from 2 species